rnacentral:rRNA from 1 species
GACGAACGCUGGCGGCGUGCUUAACACAUGCAAGUCGAACGGAAAGGCCCUGCUUUUGUGGGGUGCUCGAGUAGCGAACGGGCGAGUAACACGUGAGUAACCUGCCCUUGACUUUGGGAUAACUUCAGGAAACUGGGGCUAAUACCGGAUAGGAGCUCCUGCUGCAUGGUGGGGGUUGGAAAGUUUCGGCGGUUGGGGAUGGACUCGCGGCUUAUCAGCUUGUUGGUGGGGUAGUGGCUUACCAAGGCUUUGACGGGUAGCCGGCCUGAGAGGGUGACCGGCCACAUUGGGACUGAGAUACGGCCCAGACUCCUACGGGAGGCAGCAGUGGGGAAUAUUGCACAAUGGGCGGAAGCCUGAUGCAGCAACGCCGCGUGCGGGAUGACGGCCUUCGGGUUGUAAACCGCUUUCGCCUGUGACGAAGCGUGAGUGACGGUAAUGGGUAAAGAAGCACCGGCUAACUACGUG